UACAGAGGUGGCAAGCAUUAUUCGGAAUUAUUGGGCGUAAAGGGCGCGUAGGCGGCCUGGCAAGUGGAAGGUGAAAUCCCUCGGCUUAACCGAGGAACUGCCCUCCAAACUGCUUGGCUUGAGUCCGGGAGAGGUGAGUGGAAUUCCCAGUGUAGCGGUGAAAUGCGUAGAUAUUGGGAGGAACACCAGUGGCGAAGGCGGCUCACUGGACCGGAACUGACGCUGAGGCGCGAAAGCGUGGGGAGCAAACGGG
rnacentral:rRNA from 1 species